rnacentral:lncRNA from 10 species
UACAUAUGUAACAAACCUGCACGUUGUGCACAUGUACCCUAGAACUGAAAGUAUUAUAUAAAAAAAAAGAUCCAAGUUUGAUAGACAACCACUAUCUCAUCUCAGUUACAUCCACUCCUUCCUCAGACUCACUAAUAAAGUGCAGCCUUUGAAUAAAAAGAAGUAAAGCAGAACCCCUUUUUUGUGUGUCUCAAAGCUGCAAAAGACGUCAUGGGGAGUAAGAGCUAAGGUAGAGCCAUGGAAAAACCCUUAGGGAAUUUAGCAUUUGUUGGAGAUGAUUCAAGCAGGUGCAAAUGACCCAAUGGUAAAUACUUGAUCUCCCUAAUAAACUGAGUUUCAAAGCUGUCCAGGAGGAAGGGGGAAAAGGCUACUCAUGAGCUCUUGCUACAGAGAAGAAAGUUUGACUCUCAUGUACACAGAUAACAAGCCACAAUCAAGGGAUCCUGUUCCGACUUUUAAUACUAACAAUGACUGUACUUUCCUGGGAACCUACACGGAGCAAAAAGAAAAUCUUCUUUAUGGUGUUCACAAAGUCUGCAUAUCAAGUUUUGAACAUCAGGUUGCUGAUCUACCUGAGAUUUGGGCUGUUCAAAUUAGGCAAAUCUGAGGUUCCUGAGAGUUAGCAAGAGAGCCCCUGUGUAAACAUUGCCAUGCUCUGGGUGAUGCCUACACACUGUUUCUGAAAGGGUAAAACCUCAGACCUUCCUUUUGCAGAGAAACAUUUUUACUGAUGGAACUAAGCUGCUGUUUGCAAUCAUAAGAAGCCAAAGAGUGAGCUCAAAAACACUCACUUGAUGGUAGGACAAAGUAGUUCCCAAAAAAAGCAGAGGUCUGGGACCUGGAAUGCCAAGAUUUUUAAAAAGUCCAUGUGAAUGGGUUUCAUAUCUACAAAGUGAAACAGAAAUCAUGUCUCAAGGAUUGUGACUUUAUAGAUAUAGGGGAUGGUGAGUUACUGACUGAGGAAAUGUAAUGCUCAGGAGAAGGAGGUAACAUUAAGGCAAUAAAUAACAGUAACUCCGACAGCAAUGAUUAUGUUUGUUCAUCAGGUCCUUUCCUGCCUGCACUGUGACACCCCAAAAGUCACAGUGAUUAGCUAAAAGCAGCUGAAGUUUUCAUGGUCCCAAUCCUGGAGUGAAUACUUGAUAAGUGUCCUCAAACAUGAGUGCUCCUGAGAGGUUCAGGCAGGAAUUCUUCCAGGGCACUUCAUUCCUUUAUGUCUAUUUAGUAAGUGGACCCCACUGAUUUAGGGCUUCUCAUCCUAGGUAGAAAGGGUGACUUUUUUUUUUUGUCUUCAGCAGUAAUGGUUAGAUUUUGCAUCGCUGCAUCCACUCAGUCACAGAGGGUCACUGAGAGCCUAUUGUGGCCCUGUCUUUAGAAUUGCUCAAAGGCUUUUAUGCUUUCCCUUUCUGCUAAGCUCUGACCCUGUUUUAGGAUCUGGCCCUUCUUAAACUGUCAUUCACAGAGAGGUCUUGGAGGAGUCAGAGUCCUUAUUUCUACAGAUUGACAACUGUGCUCCAGGCUUCUACUGGCCUCGUAGAAAUGCGAGCACCUUUCAGCUACACCUCAGUCUCUGUGGUCAGAUGAUCUGGUUGAUUUCAGCUAUGGGGGAGAAUGAUUGACUCAUAUUGCCCUGAAUGACAGUGUGCAGAAGAAUCACAACUUAAGAAACCAAUUUCCAGGACAUUCCUCCUCUUGUGGAAUCUAGCCUUCCAACUGGUGAUAUUCAUCUGAUAAGCACAGUGCCAGUGAUAUGGUCUGAAUCUGUGCCCCUACCCAAAUCUCAUGUUGAAAUGUAACCCCAAAUGCUGGAGGUGGGGCCUGAUAGGAGGUGAUUGGAUCCUAGGGGCAGUUUCUCAUGGUUUCACACCAUCCUGCCUUCGCUGUUGUCCUCGUGACAAUGAGUUUUUAUGAGAUCUGGUGGUUUAUAAGUGUGUGGCUCCUCCUCCCCACCCUCUCUUGCUUCUACUACAGCCAUGUAAGAUCCGCCUGCUCCUCCUUCACCUUCUGCCAUGAUUGUAAAUUUCCUGAGGCCUCCCUAGAGGCAGAAGUCGCUAUGCUUCCUGUAGAGCCUGCAGAACUAUGAGCCA